AUUGAACGCUGGCGGCAUGCUUUACACAUGCAAGUCGAACGGCAGCGCGGGCUUCGGCCUGGCGGCGAGUGGCGAACGGGUGAGUAAUGCAUCGGAACGUGCCCAGUAGUGGGGGAUAGCCCGGCGAAAGCCGGAUUAAUACCGCAUACGACCUGAGGGUGAAAGCGGGGGACCGAAAGGCCUCGCGCUAUUGGAGCGGCCGAUGUCGGAUUAGCUAGUUGGUGGGGUAAAGGCUUACCAAGGCGACGAUCCGUAGCUGGUCUGAGAGGACGACCAGCCAAACUGGGACUGAGACACGGCCCAGACUCCUACGGGAGGCAGCAGUGGGGAAUUUUGGACAAUGGGGGCAACCCUGAUCCAGCCAUGCCGCGUGCGGGAAGAAGGCCUUCGGGUUGUAAACCGCUUUUGUUCGGGAAGAAAUCCUCUGGGCUAAUACCCCGGGGGGAUGACGGUACCGGAAGAAUAAGCACCGGCUAACUACGUG
rnacentral:rRNA from 1 species